rnacentral:lncRNA from 1 species
CGAAGGUGUUACCAAGGAGUUAACAGUUUUUACUGCACCAGACACAAGGUCCUUUAAGUUGGCUUCCCCUACCCAGUGUGCACAGGCUGAACCAGUUAAGUGACAACCCGUGGCUCUCAGGAUGUUCAUUUCCAUGGGGGAAGUUCCUUUCUUCUGUUUCUGCUGUCAAGGAGAAGUUUGCUGAUGAAAACUGGACCACAGAACCCUCAGACACCUAGAGGAAAGAGAAUUGCGUAUUUAACAUGGUGCAGUCACCGGAGCUGAAUCAUAAUUAGAGAAAGUACUUCUCAAAUCGAAGUGCUUGUAAAUCGAACCUCUUCCCUUUGUUAUACAAGCAGAUCAGCGUUUUUAAGCAGCGGAUUCAAGGAAUAAUCCCAAGCCUAGUCCUCCCAGACAAAGGCAAAACUACCAAUGCAGGAUGUCCCUCUGAACUCUGAAAGAACCUUGUGAGGACGGACUGCAUUGCACAUUGAGUAAUCGUAAGAAUUAUCACUGCUAUUUCCAAGAAAUCUAAAUCGAAGACCAAUCUUACAAUGAAUGUAUUUCAAGUCAAGUGGGAAGCCUUGAUGAAUGUUCUCGUGGGCUUAUAAAAAGCUUCAGGAUCAAGACAAGUGAUCCCAAAGUCCUGCUAGCAACUGAUCACGACUUUCAGGUCUUCCACAGUUGCAGCAUCUGCCAACAGAGUCAUCACAAUAGGGAAACAGCGAGAGUCCUCUUGGUUUAUGUUCACCUCAGCACUGAGAUAAAAAUGGCCAAAGGUUGCCAGCCUUUCUAUCACAUUGCUCUAUUUCAUAAGAGUGAGAUGAAUGUUUGUAACAGUUUAUUGUGUAAGACCCCCAAAUUCCCAUAGAUAAUGAAGUCAAG